rnacentral:rRNA from 1 species
CAAGUCAGAGCGGAAGCACUGGUGGACUGUACUGGAGUGAGAAUGCCGGAAUGAGUAGCGAGAAUUAUGUGGGAAUCAUAAUGGCCGAAAAUCUAAGGUUUCUUGGGGAAGGUUCGUCCGCCCAAGGUAAGUCGGGAGCUAAGCUCAGGCCGAGAGGCGUAGGCGAUGCACAUACGGUAGAAAUUCCGUAACCACCGAAACUUAAACAGAGGGACACUUCGAAAUAGCGGAACCCGGGCGUUGGUUGACCCGGGCGUAAGGGAGCGAAAUUAGAGUAGCGAAGUCCGCGAUGUUCGGAGGCGAGAAAAGCUCUGAGGUAUGCUAAGGUGCCUGUACCGCAAACCGACACGGGUAGAUGAGGAGAGAAUCCUAAGGCCAACGGGAGAAGGGUUGUUAAGGAACUCGGCAAAUUGACCCCGUAACUUCGGAAGAAGGGGAGCCCCCUACGGGGGGUCGCAGAGAAAUGGCCCAAGCAACUGUUUACCAAAAACACAGGUCUAUGCUAAAUCGAAAGAUGACGUAUAUGGGCUGACGCCUGCCCGGUGCCGGAAGGUUAAGAGGAGAUGUCAGGCAACGAAGCAUUGAAUUUAAGCCCCGGUAAACGGCGGCCGUAACAAUAACGGUCCUAAGGUAGCGAAAUUCCUUGUCAGGUAAGUUCUGACCCGCACGAAUGGCGUAAUGAUUUGGGCACUGUCUCAACAGCCCGCCCGGCGAAAUUGUAGUACUGGUGAAGAUGCCAGUUACCCGCAACUAGACGGAAAGACCCCAUGGAGCUUUACUGCAGCUUAAUACUGAAAUUCGGUAGUACAUGUACAGGAUAGGUGGGAGACUGAGAAAUACAGGCGUCAGCUUGUAUGGAGUCGCUGUUGGGAUACCACUCUUGUACUGCUGGGUUUCUAACCUGCGGCCGUGAAUCCGGUCGGGGGACACUGUUAGGCGGGCAGUUUGACUGGGGCGGUCGCCUCCCAAAAGGUAACGGAGGCGCUCAAAGGUUCGUUCAGCACGGACGGAAAUCGUGCAAUGAGUGUAAACGCAUAAACGAGCCUAACUGCGACACCGACGGGUGGAGCAGUAACGAAAGUUGGAGUUAGUGAUCCGGUGGUAUGUGAGUGGAAAUGCCAUCGCUCAACGGAUAAAAGCUACCCUGGGAUAACAGGCUGAUCUCCCCCAAGCGUCCACAGCGACGGGGAGGUUUGGCACCUCGAUGUCGGCUCGUCGCAUCCUGGGGCUGAAUUCGGUCCCAAGGGUUUGGCUGUUCGCCAAUUAAAGCGGCACGCGAGCUGGGUUCAGAACGUCGUGAGACAGUUCGGUCCCUAUCUGUUGCGGGCGUAAGAGAUUUGAAGGGAGCUGUCCUUAGUACGAGAGGACCGGGAUGGACGUACCUCUGGUGCACCAGUUGUCCUGCCAAGGGCAUAGCUGGGUAGCUAUGUACGGACGAGAUAAACGCUGAAAGCAUCUAAGCGUGAAACUCCCCCUAAGAUGAGAUCUCUCAUCCUUCAAGGAGUAAGGACCCAGAAAGACGAUCUGGUUGAUAGGCCGAAGGUGGAAGCGCAGUAAUGUGUGCAGCUGAUCGGUACUAAUAGUCCGAGGGCUUGAGCAA